GAAAUAUGAAGAUCAGAUAAAAGCUGCUAACUUAUUAUCUUAGCGGUUAAACUCCGUUUAUAUUUCU
rnacentral:tRNA from 1 species